AGUUAGGGUUUAUCUAUAAGGGAUUUUCAUUUUUUAGGUGAUUCGAAAGAAGAGAAGUGUAUGCAAAGCUGUCGCGUACAUGUAGUUGAAUAAAAAAGAUGAUCAGUAGCAUAUGAUACACAGAUGAUUUGUAGGGUUUUCUGUGGGGUAUAGAAGAAAGAAAAACAAAUGAAUAAAUCAAAUUGAUUAUAUAUAUGUAUUGGAAAGGAUAUGUACGUAGGAG
rnacentral:misc_RNA from 1 species